GAUGAACGCUGGCGGCGUGCUUAACACAUGCAAGUCGAACGGAAAGGCCGAAGCUUGCUUCGGUACUCGAGUGGCGAACGGGUGAGUAACACGUGGGUGAUCUGCCCUGUACUUCGGGAUAAGCUUGGGAAACUGGGUCUAAUACCGGAUAUGACGAUCUCUUGGAUGGGGUUGUGGAAAGCUUUUGCGGUAUGGGAUGAGCUCGCGGCCUAUCAGCUUGUUGGUGGGGUAAUGGCCUACCAAGGCGUCGACGGGUAGCCGGCCUGAGAGGGUGUACGGCCACAUUGGGACUGAGAUACGGCCCAGACUCCUACGGGAGGCAGUAAUGGGGAAUAUUGCACAAUGGGCGCAAGCCUGAUGCAGCGACGCCGCGUGGGGGAUGACGGCCUCCGGGUUGUAAACUCCUUUCGCAAUCGACGAAGCCUUUUGGUGACGGUAGGUUGAGAAGAAGCACCGGCUAACUACGUG
rnacentral:rRNA from 1 species